AGGAUUAACGCUGGCGGCGUGCAUGAAACAUGCAAGUCGAGCGCGGUGUGAUGCGGGGUAACCCAAUUCACAUCUAGCGGCGAACGGGUGAGUAACACGUGAGCAACCUACCUUUGAGUUGGGGAUAGCCCUGGGAAACCAGGAUUAAUACCCGAUGUGGUCGCAACAGGACAUCCUGAUGUGAGUAAAGGCGUAAGCCGCUCAAUGACGGGCUCGCGGCCUAUUAGCUUGUUGGUGGGGUAACGGCCUACCAAGGCGAUGAUGGGUAGCUGGUCUGAGAGGACGAUCAGCCACACUGGGACUGAGACACGGCCCAGACUCCUACGGGAGGCAGCAGUUAGGAAUUUUCCGCAAUGGGCGAAAGCCUGACGGAGCAACGCCGCGUGAGUGAUGAAGACCUUCGGGUUGUAAAGCUCGUGUCGGAGGGGAAGAACACAAUGACGGUACCCUACCAACGAAACGACCCCGGCUAACUACGUGCCAGCA
rnacentral:rRNA from 1 species